rnacentral:rRNA from 1 species
UUGGAGGGCAAGUCUGGUGCCAGCAGCCGCGGUAAUUCCAGCUCCAAUAGCGUAUAUUAAAGUUGUUGCAGUUAAAAAGCUCGUAGUUGAACUUCGGGGUUUACCCAUUGGUCAGGCUUAAUUGUCUGUACUGGUGAGAUGAAUCUCUACCUUCUGAGGAACUUUCAUGCCAUUUAUUUGGUGUGAUGGGAAAUCAGGACUGUUACUUUGAAAAAAUUAGAGUGUUUAAAGCAGACUAUCGUCUGAAUACAUCAGCAUGGAAUAAUGAAAUAGGACGGACUGAUUCUAUUUCGUUGGUUUCUAGGAUCACCGUAAUGAUUAAUAGGGAUAGUUGGGGGCAUUAGUAUUCAAUUGUCAGAGGUGAAAUUCUUGGAUUUAUUGAAGACUAACUACUGCGAAAGCAUUUGCCAAGGAUGUUUUCAUUAAUCAAGAACGAAAGUUAGGGGAUCGAAGACGAUCAGAUACCGUCGUAGUCUUAACCAUAAACUAUGCCGACUAGGGAUCGGACGAAGUUAAUUUUAUAAUGACGCGUUCGGCGCCUUACGGGAAAC